rnacentral:rRNA from 1 species
GGGUUGUGAGGUUAAGCGACUAAGCGUACACGGUGGAUGCCCUGGCAGUCAGAGGCGAUGAAGGACGUGCUAAUCUGCGAUAAGCGUCGGUGAGGUGAUAUGAACCGUUAUAACCGGCGAUUUCCGAAUGGGGAAACCCAGUGUGUUUCGACACACUAUCAUUAACUGAAUCCAUAGGUUAAUGAGGCGAACCGGGGGAACUGAAACAUCUAAGUACCCCGAGGAAAAGAAAUCAACCGAGAUUCCCCCAGUAGCGGCGAGCGAACGGGGAGGAGCCCAGAGCCUGAAUCAGUGUGUGUGUUAGUGGAAGCGUCUGGAAAGGCGUGCGAUACAGGGUGACAGCCCCGUACACAAAAAUGCACAUAUUGUGAGCUCGAUGAGUAGGGCGGGACACGUGGUAUCCUGUCUGAAUAUGGGGGGACCAUCCUCCAAGGCUAAAUACUCCUGACUGACCGAUAGUGAACCAGUACCGUGAGGGAAAGGCGAAAAGAACCCCGGCGAGGGGAGUGAAAAAGAACCUGAAACCGUGUACGUACAAGCAGUGGGAGCCUCUUAAUGGGGUGACUGCGUACCUUUUGUAUAAUGGGUCAGCGACUUAUAUUCUGUAGCAAGGUUAACCGAAUAGGGGAGCCGAAGGGAAACCGAGUCUUAACUGGGCGUUAAGUUGCAGGGUAUAGACCCGAAACCCGGUGAUCUAGCCAUGGGCAGGUUGAAGGUUGGGUAACACUAACUGGAGGACCGAACCGACUAAUGUUGAAAAAUUAGCGGAUGACUUGUGGCUGGGGGUGAAAGGCCAAUCAAACCGGGAGAUAGCUGGUUCUCCCCGAAAGCUAUUUAGGUAGCGCCUCGUGAAUUCAUCUCCGGGGGUAGAGCACUGUUUCGGCAAGGGGGUCAUCCCGACUUACCAACCCGAUGCAAACUGCGAAUACCGGAGAAUGUUAUCACGGGAGACACACGGCGGGUGCUAACGUCCGUCGUGAAGAGGGAAACAACCCAGACCGCCAGCUAAGGUCCCAAAGUCAUGGUUAAGUGGGAAACGAUGUGGGAAGGCCCAGACAGCCAGGAUGUUGGCUUAGAAGCAGCCAUCAUUUAAAGAAAGCGUAAUAGCUCACUGGUCGAGUCGGCCUGCGCGGAAGAUGUAACGGGGCUAAACCAUGCACCGAAGCUGCGGCAGCGACACUAUGUGUUGUUGGGUAGGGGAGCGUUCUGUAAGCCUGUGAAGGUGGCCUGUGAGGGUUGCUGGAGGUAUCAGAAGUGCGAAUGCUGACAUAA